rnacentral:rRNA from 1 species
CCUACGGGAGGCAGCAGUGGGGAAUUUUGGACAAUGGGCGAAAGCCUGAUCCAGCCAUGCCGCGUGAGUGAAGAAGGCCUUCGGGUUGUAAAGCUCUUUUAGUCGGAAAGAAAGAGUUGCAAUGAAUAAUUAUGAUUUAUGACGGUACCGACAGAAAAAGCACCGGCUAACUACGUGCCAGCAGCCGCGGUAAUACGUAGAGUGCGAGCGUUAAUCGGAAUUACUGGGCGUAAAGGGUGCGCAGGCGGUCUUGCAAGUCAGAUGUGAAAGCCCCGGGCUUAACCUGGGAAUUGCGUUUGGAACUACAAGGCUAGAGUGCAGCAGAGGGGGGUGGAAUUCCAUGUGUAGCAGUGAAAUGCGUAGAGAUGUGGAAGAACACCGAUGGCGAAGGCAGCUCCCUGGGUUGACACUGACGCUCAUGCACGAAAGUGUGGGGAGCAAACAGGAUUAGAUACCCUGGUAGUCCACGCCCUAAACGAUGUCAACUAGUUGUCGGAUCUAAUUAAGGAUUUGGUAACGUAGCUAACGCGUGAAGUUGACCGCCUGGGGAGUACGGUCGCAAGAUUAAAACUCAAAGGAA